rnacentral:rRNA from 1 species
UACAGAGACUGCAAGCGUCAUUCGGAUUCACUGGGCGUAAAGGGUGCGCAGGCGGUUGUGUGUGUCAGGUGUGAAAGCCCGGGGCUUAACCCCGGAAUUGCGCCUGAAACUACAUGACUAGAGCAUUGGAGAGGGUAGCGGAAUUCACGGUGUAGCAGUGAAAUGCGUAGAUAUCGUGAGGAACACCAGAGGCGAAGGCGGCUACCUGGACAAUUGCUGACGCUCAGGCACGAAAGCGUGGGGAGCAAAAGGG